UACGUAGGGGGCAAGCGUUGUCCGGAUUUAUUGGGCGUAAAGAGCGUGUAGGCGGCUUGACAGGUCUGCUGUGAAAACUCGAGGCUCAACCUCGAGAUGUCGGCGGAAACCGUCUGGCUAGAGUCCGGAAGAGGAGAGUGGAAUUCCUGGUGUAGCGGUGAAAUGCGCAGAUAUCAGGAGGAACACCAAUGGCGAAGGCAGCUCGCUGGGACGGUACUGACGCUGAGACGCGAAAGCGUGGGGAGCAAACAGG
rnacentral:rRNA from 1 species